GGGUCAGUAGGUUGGUCGUGCCACCGGUACGUACUGGUCUCACUGAUUCCUCCAUCCUGAAGAACCGUAAUGCCAUUAAUUUGGUGUUGCGGGGAAACAGGACUGUUACUUUGAAAAUAUUAGAGUGUUUAAAGCAAGCUAACGCUUGAAUACAUUAGCAUGGAAUAAUGAAAUAGGACGAUCGAUCCUAUUUUGUUGGUUUCUAGGAUUGACGUA
rnacentral:rRNA from 1 species